UGGAGGGAUUGCAGUAGGACUCCAUUUCCAUGCUGCGUUCAUAAAAUAGUUUAUCCAAUGACGACAAUGAGGGUUGUUGACAAUGCUACCCUGAUUUUUCUGUUCUUCUGCACUGGAAUGGAAAGUGGUGAUUUUUUUAAGUUAAUGGUUUUGCUGGCGAUACUUUGAAACUGGGUAAAUAUCCUGUUUCUCAACAAACUAAAAUCCACUGAUUUGACAGCCUCUGACAAUUCUUGACUGACUCAGUUUUUACUGUGAUGACUGCAAAAUGGGAUGCCUCUUAGUAAAUACCAGAUGGCUUGUACAUUAGGCCUAUCUUUGGGAACCACCUGCAUCAUCGCCUCCUGAAAUGAGACAACUGUUUAACUGAACUGUUUUCAAGACUGAGACUGGUUUUAAAACUUAUAUCUACAUAUAUAAAAGCCUAAUAUGCAAAGUGUCCCCUCAGGAGUUCAACUGACUGGGAGUUUG